UUGCCUACGGGGGGCAGCAGUGAGGAAUAUUGGUCAAUGGGCGAGAGCCUGAACCAGCCAAGUCGCGUGAGGGACGACGGCCCUACGGGUUGUAAACCUCUUUUGCCGGGGGACAAACGGCGGCACGCGUGCCGUCCUGAGGGUACCCGGAGAAAAAGCAUCGGCUAACUCCGUGCCAGCAGCCGCGGUAAUACGGAGGGUGCGAGCGUUAUCCGGAUUUAUUGGGUUUAAAGGGUGCGUAGGCGGGGUGCCAAGGCAGCGGUCAAAUAAGGGGGCGCAACCUGCGCCCGCCGUUGAAACGGGAG
rnacentral:rRNA from 1 species